rnacentral:rRNA from 1 species
AUUGAACGCUGGCGGCAUGCCUUACACAUGCAAGUCGAACGGUAACAGGUCUUCGGACGCUGACGAGUGGCGAACGGGUGAGUAAUACAUCGGAACGUGCCCAGUCGUGGGGGAUAACUACUSGAAAGAGUAGCUAAUACCGCAUACGAUSUGAGGAUGAAAGCGGGGGACCUUCGGGCCUCGCGCGAUUGGAGCGGCCGAUGGCAGAUUAGGUAGUUGGUGGGAUAAAAGCUUACCAASCCGACGAUCUGUAGCUGGUCUGAGAGGACGACCAGCCACACUGGGACUGAGACACGGCCCAGACUCCUACGGGAGGCAGCAGUGGGGAAUUUUGGACAAUGGGCGAAAGCCUGAUCCAGCAAUGCCGCGUGCAGGAUGAAGGCCUUCGGGUUGUAAACURCUUUUGUACGGAACGAAAAAGCUCCUUCUAAUACAGGGGGCCCAUGACGGUACCGUAAGAAUAAGCA